rnacentral:rRNA from 1 species
ACGCUCGACACCUACGGGAAGCAGCAGUAGGGAAUCUUCCACAAUGGGCGCAAGCCUGAUGGAGCAACACCGCGUGAGUGAAGAAGGGUUUCGGCUCGUAAAGCUCUGUUGUUGGAGAAGAACGUGCGUGAGAGUAACUGUUCACGCAGUGACGGUAUCCAACCAGAAAGUCACGGCUAACUACGUACCAGCAGCCGCGGUAAUCUGAGCGGGCUGGCAAGGC